rnacentral:rRNA from 1 species
AGUAACACGUGAGCAACCUGCCUUUCAUGGGGGACAACAUUUGGAAACGAAUGCUAAUACCGCAUAAGACCACAGUGUCGCAUGGCACAGGGGUCAAAGGAUUUAUCCGCUGAAAGAUGGGCUCGCGUCCGAUUAGCUAGAUGGUGAGGUAACGGCCCACCAUGGCGACGAUCGGUAGCCGGACUGAGAGGUUGAACGGCCACAUUGGGACUGAGACACGGCCCAGACUCCUACGGGAGGCAGCAUG